AGUUCUUGGCAUAAGGCUGAGUACAUUAACAUUGAAUUUGUGCUGUCUGUACAGCGAUGUGAGCUGUGGGAAAGCCUGAAGCACAUUCCUCAUUUGCAUUUCAGUCACUUCAAAGAGGACUCAAUGGAGACUCCAGAACUGGAUGCCUUGAGAGAGAAGAGAGACAGCCCCAAGGGAUGAGAAGAUGGUUUUAUACAUGGGAAAGAAGAGAUGAUGAACACUACCCUUCCUCACCAUGGAAUAGUGCUUCUGAAUCAUAAGUCCCCAUUGUAAAUAAGCUAUCUCCUUCACAUUGAUCGCUCCUUUGCUUUACACCUAAUGCCAACUUUGCAUGUGACCAUGCUGGAAGAUGCAGAAUCAGCUUUUGAUAAAAUCCAAAUGUCUUCAUAAUAAAAGAUUUGAAAACACUGGAAACAGGAGAAACAUCUAUCCAAGUCACAA